CAGAAAGUCAGUUUCGGGCUUCACGUGUUUGCAGGGCAGUACCAGUUGGACGGUUCCUGCCUGAAGACGUUUCUCUUCCCCCACCUCAAACGUCCAUUUUUAAAAAACCUUUUUCUUGCCUGGAGAAUUCGCUGGUGAUUUGGCCAGGGGGAGGUGGCUGCAGAGAAGAUGCAAAGUUUUAUUUAGUCCAGUGGAACUGAGAGUGUGAACCUCCUGAGGCGUGAACAAGCACAGUGGACAGCUGCGUGUCAUGUCCAACUCUCUGACCCCGGACUGCAGCCCGCCAGGCACCCCUGUCCAUGGGAUUCUCCAGGCAAGAACCCUGGAGCGGGCUGCCAUGCCCUCCCUCCUCCAGGGGAUCUUCCCCACCCAGGGAUCGAACCUGCGUCUCCUGCAUUGCAGACAAAUUCUUUCCCGGCUGAGCCAUCAGGGAAGCCAGGGAAUGUGUGACAGUGUCUGGAGGUGGAUUGGAUCACCACAACCAAGAGGUGAUGCUGAGCGUGGCAUCCAGUGGGUACAGACCAGAGAUGUGGCCGUAAUACCACGGUCCACGUGCAGCCUCCAGCAGAAAGAAGCAUCUGGUCCAAAUGCCCACAGCACUGCAUUUGAGAAAGCCUGCCGGGCGCUACCGUGAGCAGGUAUACACGCGUGCUCAGUCGUGUCCGACUCUGUG
ensembl:lncRNA